CCUGCCCUCUUGUAGAAGCUUCCCAUCAGAAGCUGCCUUCUACUGAGUCAGGUCAUUCAUCCAGCUAGCUCAGUACUGGCUACCCUGACUGGGAAAGACUCUUCCGUGUUUCAGGAAGGACUCAUUCCCAGCCCUUCCUGGACAUCACCAGGAAUGGACCUUCUGCAAUGCAAGGCAGAGGCUCUCACCACUGAACUGUGGGCUUUCUGGAGAACAGUAGAAGCAACCUGCUGGAUCAGGCCCAUGGCCCACCUACUCUGGAACCUGUUCUCACAGUGGCAGACCAGAUGCCCAAUGGAAAACCCUAAAACAGGACUCAGCCUCCUUCUCCUUCCUGAAUUUGUCCAAUCCUCUUCUAAAGCCAUCCAGGUUGGCGUCCAUCUCUGCCUCCUCAUGGAGGUGAGGGCCAUCAGUAGCUACUAACUUCUGAAUCCCAGUUGCAGGAAACCACAAUAGGGCUGCUCUUGUGCUGGAGUCCUGUUUGCAGAUUUCUGGUCAGCCGCAGUGAGAACAGGAAGCUGGACUAGAAGGGCCACUGGCAGGCAGUUCUUAUGUUCUUUGUGAGUUCCAUAGUUUAACUCCGGGCUGCAGGGAUAAGCGCUUUCUUCUGUCUGUCCCAAAUCUUCCGAAGGUUCAGCUUCAUGGGGUGUGCAAGAGCUCUCAUUCAUUUCAUUCAGCUCACCUUAAAAAGGAAAUUGUUGGAGCUGGAAAACCUUCAGUCAGAAAAGUGUCAGUGAAACGAUCAAGGGCGUGGAGUGACUAAUUCAUUUGGGACUAAUUCGUUUAGAGAAAAGGUGCGUAAGGGGUGAAAUGAUAGAGGUUUAUGAAAUGAUGGAGAAAGUGGAUUAAGAAAAGUGUUUCUUCUUCUCUAUUACGUUCAGUGGAGCUUGUGCAGAAGUGGAGCUUAUGCAGAAGAAUUUGGGUGUGUUUGUGACUCCAGAUCUAAGGACCGUGUGUGUGCUAACACAAAUCCACAGGUAGGAGGUUUCACUUUGAAAAGUCUUGCGAAUAGCAAUGCCAUCUAAUGGCUUUCCUUCACAGGCUCAGUGCAUUUUACGUAAGGAUUCCAGUGUUAUGUUUCCUCCCACCUGUGUAAGGAAAAGCUUCAGCUAUGUGAAAUCAUCUGAUGCUCCUGAACUGUUGGUUGGGAUUAAUUCCUCAUCCACUAAGAGAAGUAAGACAGAGGUGGUCCCUGCCUCAAACUCUUCCGUUUUACAAACUGGAGAGAGUUCAUAUUAAUUUGUAGGUUAUCCAUCCCAUGAGAUUCUGGCAUAACGAUCAGAAGAAAUGGAAGAGGGAGAGUUGUCAUUCAGCUCACGGUUAACGUAUGGAACUCACUGUUUCAGGAUGCCAUGGGCUUUACCAAAGGAUCAGAUGAUUCCACGGGCUCUGUAGAUCUCUCAGUACAUGACUGUGUACAAA